AAGCCGUAACAAGGUUUCCGUAGGUGAACCUGCGGAAGGAUCAUUAGAGAGAAAUUGCCCUUAUGGGUACAUCUCCCACCCUGAUUAUUUUACCUCGUUGCUUUGGUAGGCAUUAAUUGCCUGCCAAAGUGUAUCAAUACUCUAGUACUAUAUUGUCUGGGCAAAUAUUAAUACUUAAAA
rnacentral:misc_RNA from 1 species